rnacentral:sRNA from 1 species
AUUUUGAAUUGGUCAGCGUCCCCCUCAAAAAUCGUGUAUGUUCUACCAUUUAAGAAGUCCCAUGUCUUUUCUCAGUCAGUUAUUGCUUCUGUGGAAACUGUUAUUGUCAUGGCAGCUCCUUUCUUCUUGAAACUGUCUCCCACCUGAACUGUUCUGUUACUGUUCACCUCUUUGAUACCUCCUCUCUUUCUCUUUUAAUUCUUACCAUCAGAAUCUUGGUGUGACAUCAAUAUCCAUAUUUCCAGCUCUGGCCACUGUUCUGAGUGUCAGACUCACAUUUCCAAGAGACAAGGAGAAGGCCUUAGGAUCUACUGGGGGAGUCCGGAGGAGCAGUCUCUUCUGUCCCGCUGGAACCCAUGGUCCACUGAAGUUCCUUAUGCUACUUUCACUGAGCAUCCUAUGAAAUACACCAGUGAGAAAUUCCUUGAAAUUUGCAAGUAUGCAGAGAGUACUGCUGGGAAGGAUGAGUACUGAACCCAGAACUGAUGAAUAGCAGUGAACGCAUUAUGAGUGCCCUGCAACCAUCAUGAUCUACAGACCA